UCAAGAAAUUACCUUUCUUGGUUCUACCAAAUGUUAUUGCAUUUUUCACCUAUCUGGGUUCUACCACAUGUUGUUAUAUGUCUCACUCAGGGUUUUACUACAGUAUUCAAGUAUUUUUAACCUAUCUGGGUUCUACCACAGGUAAUAUUUGUUUCACCUGUGGGUUCUACCACAGGUUUCUAUGCAUCUUUAUGUAUAAGUACUAGAAAGACUUAUAAUUCUGGCUUUCAAUGUUUUAAGACAUUUAUGGUAUGACUAGUUAGAAGCAUAUAAAUAGUGUGUCAAUAAUAGAUGAAGAUUGUUUAAUUUAUUUUGUAACCUAUUGCAAGAAUUCUCUUAAGCUAGCUCAUGCUACAAUUAAAUUGUAUUUAGCAGGAAUUAGGCAUAAUUACUUAUUAAUAGGGCAUCCUGACCCUUUGUGCACGCUUAGAGUGUAUAUUAGAGGUAUUAAAAAGUCUCAGAGUAAUGUUGAACAAAAGAGAUUACCUAAAACAUCUCAAAUUUUGAAACAAUUGUGCUUUAUGUUAAAGCAAGGUGUUUUUUUUUUCUCCAUUCGUAAUGUUGCAGUGCGCAUUUAAUCUAGCUUGUUUUGGAUUUCUCCGAUGUGGUGAAUUUACGUAUAGUAGUAAAAUUGCAAGGCAGGACACACUUUUAAUUCAAAAUAUUAAUUUAGACAUAUAUUUUCAAAAUCUCACAUUACAUCUGAAUUCCUCCAAAUGUGACCCAUUUCGAGAAGGUAUUAACAUUACUAUUCUAUUAUAUUUUCAACCCAGUUGAUUUGAUGAGAAGAUAUAUACAAGUACGAAAAAAAUAUGGAGCUAGACCAGAUUCCUAUUUAUUCGUUAGUGAUGAGUAUAAUAAUGCUCCUUUGUCUAGAGAUACAUUUAUAUCUCUGCUUCGAGAUUUGCUGUUCAGAUUAGGGUAUAAUGAUAGCAAAUUUUGUGGUCAUUCUUUUUGAAUUGGUGCUGCUACAUCAGCAGCAGCGGCAGGGGUUGAGGAUCAUAUUAUCCAAACAUUAGGUAGAUGGUCAUCCGAUUGUUAUAUACGUUAUAUUCGAACUGACCCAAAAACUGUUUGUAAAGCACGAAGCAGAAUGUGUCGUUCCUAAUUUUUUAUACAUGUUUUGUUCUAUAUCAAAGGAGUUAUAAGAACUACAUUUCGUUAAUUAUUUUAGUAUUGUAGUUAUUUUUUAUUUAUUUAUUUUUUUUUCCUGUUUGUUUUCAUUUUCAUACAUGAAAUUAUAUUCAAGCACUUUUUUUCUUUCUAAUGGUCUAUUGAAUUUUUUUUAUUUAUAUGUACAUGUAUCAUUUCUUGGGGGCUUUCACUCAUGCUACUCGUUCAUUUGGCCUACUUAAUUUCAGGGAAAUUAUUUUCCCCCAAUUCAUUAAUACAUCUUAUAAAUUAUUAAGGCUUUGUUUUAUUUAAGGGUGAUAAUUAAGUUAGUUUUUGUAUCUGUUGGGAUCUACCGCAGGAAUUCUCUUUUUUCAAAUUUAUACCUGUCUCAGGGUUCUACCAGUCAGGUUCUAAUAGUACCUGUUGGGAUCUACCGCAGGAAUUCUCAUUUUUCAAAAUUCAUACUUGUCUGGGCUCUACCACUCAGGUUCUAAAAGUACCUGUUGGGAUCUACCGCAGGUAUUCUCAUUUUUCAAAUUUAUACCUGUCUGGGUUCUACCAGUCAGGUUCUAAAAUAAAUUUUUCACCUGUCAGGGCUCUACUGCAGGUUCUUAAAAUUGCAUAAUUUAGGCAAUUUAUUUUUUAAUUAAUUUAAAAUUAUGUUGAGUAGGUAGUGAUUUUGAUUUGGUUAUUUUAAUUAGUAUUAUUGUAAGUUUUAAUGAUUAGCCCCCCUGAAAGCCAAAUGAUACAUUUAUUAUUAUUUUCAUAUGUAUUCAGUAUAAUAGAUUUAGAAUUGAUUGUGAAUAUGAUACUAGUAUACUGUGUAUACAAUGGUGUCUUAGUAUAUUAGUUUGUUAUUAAAAUUAGAAUAGUUA